CUGCGCCCGGGUGGCGGGGGCGGGCGGCGAAGUUUCUUCCCUUCCCUCUGGCUUCGGAGGUACCUGUUUGUAUAAUAAUGGGUGGUAACGGUUUGGCCGGGGGCCCCCGCUCCGCUCUCCGUGCGUGUGUGACCAGCUGCUGCAGUCUAUAUAAGGAAUUACAUUUACAUUUCAGACUUAGGGGCUGCUGUGGGGUGGUGUUUUUUCCCCUUUGGUACGUGUGUUACUUUAAGAUGCAAUGGGAAGAUACACGGCGGGGGGAAUAAAGACUCGUAACACCCACUCUCUACUUAUUUUCUGGAAAAUGGAGAAGUAGUUCGGUCCUCGUAGCACGACUCUUCGGAAUAGGAUGUAGACUAGGCGAUUUUGUAACCCUCCUUGGCAAUUUUGGGUUUUAUGUGGCAUUUCCUGUGCAGGGUCACAGAUAGGAAGGCUUUGCCUGCCAUCUGAGAUGUUUUCAUAUGCAGUGAACAGUCUCCGAAAUAGAUCGGAGUCACGAUCGGUGCUUCACCUCUCUAAUCCUGACUGUUCAGGGUGUAAGGUGGUGAUAAAUGACGGCCUUUCCAGGGGCUAACGGGUUGGUUUGAUUGUGUUGAACUUAAAAGGGUUUUCUUAUUUUUGCUGUGUGUGUUUUCUAGCAAGUGUUCUUAUUUGCACGCUCGUAUUAUUAAUUCCUUGUUCUAAUGUAAAUAUUUAUAUUUAGCUCAUGAUUUGGCUGUGCUAAAGGUAAGUUUGGAAAGUGCUUUUCUCUUUACCUUAUUAAAAAUGUGGAUGAUUAGAGAAAGGGGCUUUUCUUGUUGCUGACGACAACAUGUGUGACAUGUGAGUCUGAAACCACCCAGCGUCUGUGCAGGAGCUGUAAACAUGUUUACCUGAACAGGAAAGAAAAUGGAUUUUUCUCUUAAAGAUCCAGUGAUGUGAAUACUAUACUCUUAAAGCAUAUCAACAGAUGCCUUGAGAGAGAAAUUUUCUGAAAACCUGGCUUUUGAAAUCGACGGGAAAAAAAGAUCCUUGAUUGCUGCAGCAAAUGGCAACUUGUGCAGAUAAAUAAUAUUCCUGAGUGACAGCCAAGGAGAAUGGGAAGCCCAGUCAAGAGCAGUGAGAUUUGAUGGAUAAAAUACUAACUCCAGUUAAAUGCAGCAUAGCUUUAUAAAUUUAUUUCAGUACUCCUGAGAAAAAUACUACUUCCAUCACACAGCAUGUAAGCACCUUUCAGGCAGUAAAAAUGUAUGUACUGAGUCUUCCUGUAUCUUGGCCUGUACAUCCAAUUCCUUAUCUUCUCACAGGUCAGGUGAUAGAUCAGGAACACUGGAGGAACUGGCAAGAUCAUUGGAGAUAAGCAUCCAUCCACAGAUGUGUACAUGGAAGAAAGCAAAAUGAUAUUACAAAACAUCACAAAUGCAGCACAAUUUGAAAAAAAGGAAAUCUAUUCCAUCUGAAAAAAGGGCAAAAUAAAGAACAGAAAAAUCAUGCCUUAACUACAAGACUUAAGUUGAUUUUUGUUGAACUGGUAGAUCCCUAAAGAAGCAGGUUGGGCUUUUUAUUUGUCUGUUUUCCUAACACCUUCCUCCUCACCUGAGCUAACAUAAUUUUUAUUAAUGCCCAAAAGCAUCAGGGAGAUGAUUUGUCCCUUUUUCUAAGAUGCGCUUGUCUUCAAACAGUUUUUCUUAAUGCCUUGAGGUAUUUUUGCCUUGUGUGCUUCCAGGUAUGUAUCAGAUUUUCCUUCUUCACACCUUCUAGUCCAUUUUGUAAUUGCUCUUAAGUUCCUGUAAGCUAUUUACUGCAAGCCAUGUUAAGUCUUAGACUGGAAAAGGAGAUACUGUUCAGAAUCUGUAACCUGGUUAAUCUUGUACUCUGUCUCUCCAUAGCCUUUCCUUUGCAGUAUUUCUGGCACAGCUAUUUGGUUAAGUCAAGCAAAAUAGAACCAGUCUCACCCUACUGGAUUCAUUCUUAUGCUAUUGUUCACAGGAAGGACCUAGGUACAGUUUGCCUGGUAAAGAGCAUGAGGUGGUGAAUAAGGACUUUGAAGCAGAUUUGGAGCUGUAAUGACUGGCUUCCUUCCCUGCUGCUGUCCCUUCCCCUUCCUUGCUAAGCAUUUUCAUUUGAAAUACUAAGGUGUGGUCAUCGGGCAUAGCUGUUCUCAACUUCCAGUAAUUUUUUGCUCACUACUGAGCUGCACCAUAAUUACAUAUGCAAAUGUAGUAAUUUUUUUUCCCUUCUUACCUUGUACAUGUGGAAAAGGAAGAUAAGGUUGCAGAGUUCUGUCGGGGAGGUGCUGCUAUUGAGGAGGUACUGCAGAUGGCUGCAGGAGACAAGUACUGGACCUGCAGGACAAGGCUCAGCAGGGGAUUUCAGAACUUCCAAUAUCUGAAAGGCAACAAGAAAACAGUCUUCUUGCCAACUUUAGAUAGGAUCAGAUUGUAGGAUGGCUUGUUGUAACAACCUAUUUUGAUACAUUCUAGCUACUGAAUGCUGAAAGUUAAUUUGCAUUUCCAGUAUGGAUUUGUUUUGUAGACAUAUAUGAAUCUACAUCCGUCUAUGUAUGUAUAUCUGUAGUUAAAUCCAAUAAUUUAAUCUUUUAGACUGGCUUGGAUGCUCCCAGUAGUAGCACAAGGUAGACUUCUGUUCAUAAGUGUUGUAAUGAUUGUAAAACCACAGAGAUGAAUUCUGUAGAACAGACUAUUCUGACAAUUUCUGCCCUUCAUGGUAAGGCUUACCUUGUACAUUUUCCAGAUCUGGAAGUGACAUACUGUAUUCCUGGAACACCGAAUGUGAUUUUGAGCAAAUAUUGGAAGAUGGAAUUGGUUCUAUAGUGCAAUCAAAAUGCUGUGAGGCUUUCUGCACAAAAGUGAAAUAAUACCUUAGAAAUGAGAAGCAGAAUUUAAUUGGUAGUUGUGGCAAAGGAAAGGGGAAAUAGUUGCAGUGUCACAUCACGCAGGAUAACAUGCCAUAGUUCUGUUUCACCACGUGAUUAAUCUUGCCUGCAUAGUUCAUGUAGUAGUUAUGUGAUGGAGACCAACACCUUAAAAAGAUGAGCCUGGCUUUUUCCUCAGCAUGUGAGUGAAUAAAACUAGUGGCAGAUUUUCCAUUUCUGUGAAGUAAGCCAGUUCACAAAAGGAGAAUUUUAACUUUCCAACUGUAAAGGAUACAAAUAAACCUAGGCGAAUAAAAAUCAUCAGACACAGCAGGGGUUUAUUAUCCCGACAGAAAAUUCUUAUGAGAUGUCUGAUGCAAACUGCCGUCUGUGGAUCUGAUGCUUCAAAAAUAUUUUUGGCAGUAGUGCUUGUGACAGUGCUAAGAUGCUUUCCUUCAGAAGUGAAAUAAAGUAAGGUGGUUAAGAACUCCAGUAAAUACGGCUAUUUUCUUUUCUUUAGAAGUUGCAAGCCUUUGCCAUGUAUUUAUGUCACAUGCCUGGAACAAAAUAAUUUAAAAACUUCCUGUUGUGCACUACUGUAUGCAGAUCAUUUCAUUGCAUUUGUUUUUUUCAUGUGUAUGGUGUCACAAUACUUCGGCAUAUAGAAAAUAUAUACAGCUUUUUAGAAAAGAGUGAGUUGUUUUUUGAGUUGGUAAAAAAACAGAAGAGCUGAAAUUGGAAGGUCAUAAAAUGUCUUGUUCUAAUAGUUUACAGUUUCCUGUAUUUAGCUCUUAUUUCAUCUUUCUGACUUUUGAUAAUAUUUUAAGCACUUUGAAAGUCUCCUAUUCCAAAUUCUCAGAACAAAAAUGUUUGUGACUGUUCAAGUUCCAAGAUGUUCGCUUACAGUGUAAAGUCUCCCAGGUUUGUGCCUUAAUGUAUCUUAAUAGGCAUCCUAAUUAAGCUUUUUAUCCCUUAAAUGUUUCCCCAACCUGUCUACCUUUAAAGAAUUCAUGUGUCUUCCUUCAACCACAGUUUUAAGUAGGACUGUCAAUCCAAUGUGUGUCUUGUUCAUUUUUGGGUCUACUGUCAGAACACUUUGUAGCUGAAGUGUGUGUGCGCAUGUGCAGCUGCAUGUGCUGUUUUCCUGCCUUUUCCUUUUGUCUGUCAAGCUUCUGGCUGAUAGCAGAUUAGCCAUCUGAAUGUGGGCAGCAAAGAGUAAUGGGCUGUACAGAAUGCCUGGGGCUUCUUGCAUACAAUAAAAUGACUCCAUUAUAAAGCAAAAAAUGACAAGUUUGCCAUGGAAGAUGUCUGUACUGGGGAGAUGGAGAGUAGCCUUUGGUUUAUGAUCAUCUUAAUGGGUGUAAAAUAAAUUUAAUUUUUUUUUAACCAUCAAAAAUAUUCCUAGGUGCUUUACGGAGCAUUGCUGAUGGUUCUAGCAGGAAAAUACUUAUGAGCUAAAUUGCUGAUGUACUACUUGCUAUUCCUGAUUGCUGUAUAUGUGUGAGGGAAGAAAGGGAGUAACAGCAUGAUGGCUCAGUUUAAUUUUCAUCAUGCAGGUGUGUGUGUUUUUUUCCUUUCUUUUCAAUUUUUUUAUCUCUAAUGUUUUGCUUAGUUACAGGAUUACAUAAUCUGCCCUGCAGAACUGUGUUAGGUUUAUGAAGUCUUUUGGAAGAUGUGCUGAUACACAUUUGAAGGAAAUUGGGCCAGGAACGUGGCUGAGAUGCAGGGAAUCCAGAUGCUGGAGAAGGACAUGAAAUAUAAAGCUGUAGAGAGUUGGAUCAUUGUCAGUAGAAAAAUGAAGCUGUGUGCAGAGGCAUAGUAGCAGGAAAACUAGCAGGGAAUCUUAUCAAGUUUUUUUUGACAGCUCUACUUGCCUGUUUUAAGAAUUUGGUGUUUAAAAAGCCCUCUUGAUUGUCUACAGUUUACCGUGUCAGUAAGCAGUAGUGGCUGCUUGUGCACUUCUAAAUUCCAGUUACAGCUCUCAAGAAGAUUUUUUGUUUGUUUUUAUGGCAUUCAAGCUCUAAAAGGUGCUCUCCCCUGUAAAAAAAAAAAACAACAAAACAGGUGCAGUAUGUUAAUUUAUGCUAAAUGGAAGAUCUUCCUGGUUUGCAUCUGCUCAGGAAAUUAAGACAGCUGAUAUAUAUGAGCUUCCAAGCUAACUGGCAAGUCAGGAUAAAAGCAAUUUGGUAUAUAGAAUAUGCAUGUAUUGUUAAAAAAUGGAAAACUUGUCUUAAAAUGCUUGAUUAAACAUACCUCUUAACUGA